GAAAGAAAGAAAGAAAGAAAGAAAGAAAGAACGAGAGAAGCAAUCAAGCAUGGAGAGCAGCAGGAAAUUUGGCGGUCCUUUUUUUCGUUUU
rnacentral:ribozyme from 11 species